AACCCAUGGUAAAGCCACCUUCUCAGUAAGUCCUUGUAUCUCUCCCAUGCAUCGCAGAGGGUUCCUAAAUCCAUCUGCAUAAAAGAAGAGAUAUCAUUACGUAAUUU
rfam:Gossypium hirsutum cultivar TM-1 chromosome 10, whole genome shotgun sequence